AAGAACCCAUAACUAUAAUUGAGCAAACCCUGAGAAUAGCACACAUGCAUAAUCUUCAGAAGAAAUAACAUUACACUGCUAAUAAUACAUAUAUUAGGUAGCAUGGUUGAAUGAAUAUUUACAAUGGAUAGAAAUGGUCAUUGAGGAGGCAAGGGAAAGCAGGAAAGGCCAACGGCAAUAUUUACAAGACAUGAAAGUAGCUUAGUUCGCAUCUUAAAUAGGGAAGUGUAUCAACUGAACUUUGACAUGGCUGUAUGAGCGUCAAAGACUGGGUUUGCAAACACGCAUGCAACGUAGUAGCAUGUCCAGAAGGGUGCAAAGAGAGGUGCCUGAAGACAACGACGGUGAUUCAUGGUUCACUUGUCCUUGCGGGCGGAGGCGUUAGUAGCCAGCGCCAAAGUAGCGAGCCCAAGGCGGCGAGGGCCAAGGCAGAGACCUUCUAUAUACAAAACAGCCUAAUGCAAAAGACAGGACAGUUCAUAAGACAAGAGAGCCACAUAGCAUAAGCUGCCAUCAUAAUAAAGCUCAUAAUAUAUGCAGUGCAUCAAAUGUUGACAAAAGGCGUAGAUAUGAACUAAUGUAUCAGUUCAAUUGAAAGCCAGAAGGCAAGGAUAACUGUAAGAAGGGAACACAGGUAUCAUCGAAAUCAAUUCUCUAAAAGAACUUGACCACAGUUCUGAGUCUUUAUCAUGUAAACGACAACACAAUGUAAAACAUGGCAGUGGCAAAAUAACCAAAAAGAAGGCAUGAACAAAUCAGCCAAGGGACUAUGGGCUGCAGAAAGGGACGUACCAGACAUGCACGCUCAUCCCAAAGCGUCGAUCAGCCGCUACUUUAGCUUUUUUGCUAAAACGUUCUUGGCAGCAACAGCAGCCGCCCUAAUACCAGGAAGUUUCCAGCAAAAGGAUUACAUAAGAAACAAAUAUUCAUGUUCUGUAUAAACAGAAACAGAAAUCCAACAUGCAAAACAAAAAAACAGAAGCAUCAAAACUGCAAUUGUUAUAUGAACAGAAGUUUGAUUGUAUGUGGUUUUGUAGUGUUAAAUUCUUUAUGAUCCAUAUGGCCAUUUCCAGUCUGGGCACGUAGUUAAUAGUGUCUUAUGCUUCAUUGUAUAGAGAAGGCACCUCUAAAGCUUAGUUGUCUCAGCAACCGUAGUGUCCACGGUCUCAGCAGGUGCAGUGGCAGAAGCAUCAGCAUCAACAUCAGUCAGUUUAGAUCCCUGUGACAGGGCCAAGUUAAUCAAUUCCCAACAUGAUAAAUCUUUCAAAUAAACCAAGACUGAGAACCUUAACCAAGGGACUAUUUUCAGGCAAAACAUCGAUAAAAAAACAUUGGGAAGGAAAAGACACCAGAGAGAAAACAGUAAAUGCAUUAGCCAUAAGAAUGUUCUGAAAGGAAAAUCAAGAGACUCCAGCAAACUUAAGGAGUGAACUAAUACAAUUAUCAAACUAACUAAACACAUCUAGUUAAGGUGAGACGAUCUAAGAAGAGAAAGAAGAGGGGAAAGUACAUAUUUUGACAGUGUGGGAAACCACCAAAUGGCUUGACCUGAUGCUAAAAACUUUUUGGCCAACAACACAGCCUACAGCAAAUCUUCAGACUAAAGAAGCAGCAUAUUUUUUUGGCAAACAAAACAGAAUAAUUGCAAGGCUCACAACUUACAAUUGCACUAUACAACUUUGCUAUUGAACAAUGGUAUACCUAAGAAAACCAAACCGCUGCUGUUAUAAUUACUUACUGCCGCUGUUAUAAUUACUUUGAAACUCAAAUUAAUUUGCAUGUCGUUCUUAACCUCCGUAUACAUGAGUUUAUGCAUAUAGUUGCACAAAGAAAAGGUGCGCCAUGAUCUCACAAGGCAAGAACAGCAGCCAAGCCAUGAAACAAAGCAAGCAAAGUCGUACUUUCUCACAAGCUGAUACAACAUGCAGCAAGAAGCAUAGCAACAAAAGCACAUCUAACCUUGCCAGUGAAUCACCCGGGCGUCGGGAAACCUGGGUAACAAGAGAAAGAAACAUGGAAGAACGUGUGAGCAAACAGGCAUUUUAUCGAACAUGUGACGAGCAAGAAAGACCCUAC
rnacentral:lncRNA from 1 species